rnacentral:rRNA from 1 species
AAUGUUGUUAUUAAUUUAUUAUUGAUUAACCUAUGGAUUGUAGUGUUUUGAAACUUUUAGUGUUUUAUAUUAACAAUUACCAAAAAUAUUCUAGAUUUUCUUUUGUAUAGGUGUUAUAAAAAAUGUGUAUAAAAUUAUUAUAAUAUCUUUAAGAGGUAGAAGAGAAUAGGAUUAGGUCAGUUAACAACAAAUUUAUUAGCAACUAUAGGCUCAAUUAAGGUCUAAAGAACGGGAAUAGAAUAUUUGUUAUGUAUAAUAUAAUAUCAACUUAUUAGUAAUAAUAUCUUAUCAUAACUCUAUUAACAAGAUAUAAAAGAAACAAAACAGUGAAAUUAGAAUAAAAUUAUUAAUAAUUUAAACGAAGUAUUAAGAAGAGAGAAGAUGUGAGCGAACAUCCCCUUGUCUAAAACGGAAAGAAGAAUUUCCUGAUAAGUAUAAAUUAGUAACAUUUGAAUAUUAAUUCAUCCUAUUUAGGUAUAAGGAUACUUAUAUAAAUUUUAUAAUUAAAUACAUAGAAUUCCAUUUCCAUUUCUGUAAUUAAAAAACUUUGAGUCAAAUAUAUUUAUUAGUUUAAGUUGAAACAAAAUUUGGAGAAUUAAAAAUAAUAUAAUUUCCAAUAAAGGAAAGAAUCUCUUUGAGUAUUUUUAGAUUAAUGGAUUACGGUUUAACUUAUCUUUCUUCAACCUUAAAUGUAUAUAACAUAUAAAGUACUACAAUUACCUUUUGCAUAAUGGUUUAAUUAAUAAAACAACAGAUGAAUCCACCCGAAUUAAGAAGAUCUAUUCUGCUUUACUUAUUAGAAAUUUUCUUGACUGUGGCAAAAGUUAAAAUUAAAAAGAAGAAUAGGGAUGAAAUGUCAACAAGUCUUAAGAUAGCUGGAUAUUAGAGAAAUAUAUCUAGUAUAUAUAAAAUAGUUAUAUGGUAAUAAGAUCAUAUAAGCGGAAUUUCGUAGUUAAAUAUUUUCUUCAUAUUACUUAAAAGUUAAUAAUAAAACUAAGAGAAGAACUAAUUUUUAUAUAAAAAUUCUAUUAUAUCUAAAUAAGGAGAAAAACUAUUAACUAAUUAAAUAAUGUUAAAAUUAGUCAAAAAAUUAAUAAGAGAAAAGGAACUCGGCAAAAGAUUACUUCAACUGUUUAACAAAAACAUAGCUAGUUGAGUCUUAUAACUAGUUAUUUCUGCCCGCUGCGAUUUUUCGUGAAGAGCCGCAGUACACUGACUGUGCAAAGGUAGCAUAAUAAUUUGGCUUUUAAUUGAAGUCUGGCAUGAAAGAGAACAUGGAGUUUAGCUGUCUCUUUUUUUUCCAUUUAAAUUUAUUUUAGGUAGUGAAAAAACUUCCGAUUUUUCUAUUAGACGAGAAGACCCUUAGAGUUUUAAUUAAAGAGUUCUUACACUCUCUGUUUUUGUUGGGGCAACAAGAUAACAUUAUAAAUUUAUCCUUUUAUAUUUUAAACAUGGGGCGAAUAUAUUAUUAAGUAAAGUAAAACUACCUUAGGGAUAACAGCAUAAUUUUACAUUAUAAGUUUGUGACCUCGAUGUUGGACUAGGAAUAAAUUAGAUUAGACGUUUAAUUUGUUAGUUCUGUUCGAACUGUAAUUCCUACAUGAUCUGAGUUCAGACCGGCGUAAGCCAGGUCAGUUUCUAUCUUUUAUUUAGUAUAAAGUAGUACGAAAGGAUUCUUUAUACGCAAAAAAUAGUUGUAAAGAUAAUAAAACAUAAUAAAAUUAUUAGGAGAUAAUUAAAAGAUUGUCUAUUAUCCAAUAUGCUAAUGAGUUAUUAUGUUAAGCAGAUCGAGAAAUGUGACAUAGGAUAUAACUAUUAAGUUUAUA